AUUGAACGCUGGCGGCGUGCUUAACACAUGCAAGUCGAGCGAUGAAGCACCUUCGGGUGUGAAUUAGCGGCGAACGGGUGAGGAACACGUGAGAAAUCUGCCUUCAACACUGGGAUAACUCCGGGAAACCGGGGCUAAUACCGGAUAUGAAACCUGCGGGCAUCCGCGGGUUUGGAAAGUUUUUCGGUUGAAGAUGAUCUCGCGGCCUAUCAGCUUGUUGGUGAGGUAAUGGCUCACCAAGGCGACGACGGGUAGCCGGCCUGAGAGGGCGACCGGCCAAACUGGGAAUGAGACACGGCCCAGACUCCUACGGGAGGCAGCAGUGGGGAAUAUUGGGCAAUGGAGGAAACUCUGACCCAGCGACGCCGCGUGCGGGAUGAAGGCCUUCGGGUUGUAAACCGCUUUCAGCAGGGAAGAAGCGAAAGUGACGGUACCUGCAGAAGAAGCACCGGCUAACUAUGUGCCAGCAGCCGCCGUAA
rnacentral:rRNA from 1 species